rnacentral:lncRNA from 1 species
GUCGGAGACGCUAGAAGGGAAGCCAGUAUGGUGGAGCAAGCAAAGUCUAGACCCAUCAGUCUUACGGACGAUUACAUGCCACGUGUCAUUCCUCUGAUAUUACAGACCGUUAAGGAUCAUGGUAAGAAACAGUUUUGAUUUAAGCGCAAAAACAGAGAUCCUCUGUUUUUUCAAUUUAUGGGUUGGUUAAUGUUGAUAUACUCUGUUUCUAUGGUCGGUUUUUGUUUAGGGAAGACAACUUACAUGUGGAUGGGACCUAAAGCGAGUGUGAUUGUGACGAAAACAGAACACAUCAAAGAAGUUCUAAACAGAGUUUACGAUUUCCCAAAGCCACCAAAGCACCCAGUCGUUGAGCUUUUUGCUACUGGCGUCGCACUGUGUGACGGAGAGAAAUGGUCUAAGCAUAGGAAGAUAAUAAACCCUUCUUUUCAUUUAGAGAAGCUCAAGGUCUUUCUUACAUCAAUUCUCAUGGUUUUUUCAAAAUGUGAUAAAUCAUAUGUUGAUUUUGCCUUUUGUUUGCUUUGCAGGUUAUGACACCUGCCUUCUACGAGAGCUGCAGUGAGAUGACAAGUAAAUGGGAGAGAUUGGUGAGCGAGCAGGGAUCAUCGAAUGAGAUUGAUAUUUGGCCAUACCUUUGUGAUGUAACAUCAGAUGUCAUUUCGCGUACUGCGUUUGGUAGUAGCUACGAGGAAGGUAAGAGAAUCUUUGAGCUUCAAGAAGAACAAGGCCGGCGACUUUUAAAAGCUCUUGAGCUGGAUUUUAUCCCUGGAUUGAGGUAGACUAAGAUGAUAUUUCGGUGUUUCUCUCAUUCAAUUUGCAAUAUAGAAAUCUUGAAAGAUCAUCUCGUUCUUCUCAUUGUUUAGGUUCCUACCAACAAAGAACAACAUGAGGAUGUGGCAAAUAGAUAGGGAAGUUAGGUCUAGACUGAAAGAGAUCAUCAUGAAAAGACAGAGUGCUAUGGUAUCAGGGGAGGCUCCAAAGAAUGAUCUGUUGGGGAUACUUUUGGAAUCUAAUUCGGGAGAUCACGGUAUGAGUAUUGAAGAUGUGAUCGAAGAGUGCAGGCUGUUUCACUUCGCGGGCCACGAAACCACCGCGGUGCUGCUCGUCUGGACCAUGAUUAUGCUGAGCCAUCACAAGAAAUGGCAAGAUCAAGCUAGAGAAGAGAUCUUAGAAGUCAUUGGGAAGACCAACAAACCUAACUUUGAUACACUCUCUCGACUCAAAAUAGUAAAUGCAUUAAUAAGCUAUAACCAUAGGAUUUUUAGGCCAAAAACUCAGACUAACGUUUUCUCGGAACUUUUGUUUCUUUGACAGAUGAGCAUGAUCAUUAACGAGGUGUUGAGGCUAUACCCACCAGGGAAACUACUUGGUCGAACAAUAGAGAAAGAAACAAAGCUUGGUGAGGACAUGACACUUCCAGGUGGUGCACAAGUAGUGAUUCCUGUUCUUAUGAUUCAUCGUGAUCCCGAGCUCUGGGGAGAAGAUGCUCAUGAGUUUAAGCCCGAAAGGUUCUCUGAAGGGAUCUCAAAGGCCACGAAGAACCAAGUCUCGUAUCUUCCGUUUGGAUGGGGACCAAGAUUCUGUCCUGGCCAGAACUUUGCUCUGAUGGAAGCUAAGAUGGCUCUUGUCUUGAUUAUGCAGAGAUUCUCCUUCGAACUGUCACCUUCGUACACUCACGCCCCUCACAUGGUUCUUACACUUCACCCUCAGUUUGGUGCUCCGUUGAUCUUCCACAUGCUCUGAGAUCGAUUCACUAUAUAGUACACAAGAUUUCUAAAAUUCUCUGUUUUUGUUUUACCCUUAAAUAAAGAUUCUAAGAUAUAGUAGCAUAUGUAAUCCUACAGAUGACAAUGAUUAUUUAUGAGGUCCUUAGGCUAUAUCCUCGUAAUCCAGAUAAACCGAGCUAUCCACAAAGAGAUAAAGCUAGGUGAUGUGACAUUACCAUUUACCAGGGGGUGUUCAAGUCGAUAUGCCUGUUCUCCUAAUCCGAGCUUUGGGGCGAUGAUGCAGCAGAGUUCAAGCCGGAGAGAUUCAAAGAAGGGAUCUC